AUUUUAGUAUAAGUAUGUCCCAUGCAAUAUUUGAGACGUACUUAUGCUAAAA
rnacentral:pre_miRNA from 1 species